AUACGGAAGGUCCGGGCGUUAUCCGGAUUUAUUGGGUUUAAAGGGAGCGCAGGCGGAGAUGCAAGCGUGACGUCAAAUUUCGGGGCUCAACCCCGUCUCGCGUCGCGAACUGCGUCCCUUGGUUGCGGGAGGGGGAGGCGGAACUCGUGGGGUAGCGGUGAAAUGCAUAGAUAUCACGAAGAACUCCGAUCGCGAAGGCAGCCUUCCGGCCCGUCAACGACGCUCAUGCUCGAAGGUGGGGUAUCAAACAGGAUUAGAUACCCUGGUAGUCCGCACAGUAAACGAUGGACACCCGCGGUUUGGCCUAUAUGGCUGAGCCGCCAAGCGAAAGCGUUAAGUGUCCCACCUGGGGAGUACGCCGGCAACGGUGAAACUCAAAGGAAUUGACGGGG
rnacentral:rRNA from 1 species